AGAGUGAACGCUGGCGGCAGGCCUAACACAUGCAAGUCGAACGGCAGCACAGCAGAGCUUGCUCUGUGGGUGGCGAGUGGCGGACGGGUGAGGAAUACGUCGGAAUCUGCCUUUUUGUGGGGGAUAACGUAGGGAAACUUACGCUAAUACCGCAUACGACCUACGGGUGAAAGCGGAGGACCUUCGGGCUUCGCGCAGAAAGAUGAGCCGACGUCGGAUUAGCUAGUUGGAGGGGUAAUGGCCCACCAAGGCGACGAUCCGUAGCUGGUCUGGAGAGGAUGAUCAGCCCACA
rnacentral:rRNA from 1 species